AUGGCCAAUUUUACUAAAAACUUCCAGUCUUCAAGCAAACCAGAUGGUGAAAAGAAAUACCAGGGUACAUUGGUUGCUUCUCCAGCAAAGGCCAUUUCACCAAAGACAAUAAAGCAUAUUGUGCCAAAACAAUUGACCUUGAGCAGGGAGUCAACAGGUCAUGUGGCGUCGUUUUUGGUAAAGGUUAUUGCUCUUGAGGUAGUGAGGAGGAUUUCUAAAGCAAAAUGUCCUUUUGUAUGGAAUUCUAUUCAAGCACUGCAAGUUCUUGGAUAUCCUCCAUUUAGGUGGAUUCAAAGAUGGGCACCACUCAAAUUUGUUGUGCAAGGCAUUCAGAAAUUAUCCACUCCACUGCUGUUCCUAUCUGUCACAUCUGCACUAGGUGAUCUUUCAUCUAAGAGCGAUGAAACUGAUGAUGGACCUAGUAGCACUACAGGAGCUCCUGACCUUCCUGCCGAAUCAAAUGAAACAUCAUCGAUUUCUGAUACAAGGGAGGCCACUGAUGGGGAUGGUACAAAGGAUAUUGUUGUUUCUGAGAAUUGGCUGGUGCUACUUUUCAAGGAACUUGAAAAACAAGGAAUCACUUUGCCUGAGAGGUUCAGUGAGGAUGAACUACGCAGAUUCCACAUGGCAGCAAAUGGUGACCUUUCAAUCUUGGUCUCUUCAGUUAAGAAGACAAUCCGUUGGAGGGAAACUUUUCACAUACUUACAUUGCAAGAACUUGAGAAAUGGUCCCAUUUGGUCUUUUGGCAUGGGUUUGACACUACACUUCGGCCUUGCUUAGUAAUCCGUCUUGGACUCGCGUGCUCUAGCAUAGCCCCUCGUGAUAGACCUUGUUUUGGGCAAGCAGUAGUUUCUCAGAUUGACCAUGGUAUUAUACAUUUGACCAACGAAGAAGAUCCAAGAAUUACUGUUUUGCUGGAUUGCCACGGGAUUUCUCCAUUCAAAUUUCCGAUGCAAAUGAUGAGGUCGUUUGUCAACUUGGUUCAAGAAAACUACCCAAAUCGUCUUGGAGUAUUAAUUGUUGUCCGUCUUCCUCCAGUUGUCAGAGUUAUUGCACAGACUUUUAUUCAACUCCUGAAACCAUCCACAAAGCAGAAGCUGCGUUUUGAGGGGGAAUCAUACAAAAAGACGUUAGCUGAGUUCUUACAGAUAGUGCCAGCUUUUCUUGGUGGCAAAUGCAACUGCUCACGAUGCAAGAAGCCUCGCGACAGUUCACUAAUCCAGGCAGGGGAGGGGAGCAGGAGCAGGAGCCUUACCAGCGCCGGCUCCAGAUCACGAGUCUCGGACAUGGACUUCGACGAGGAACUGGAGGAGCUUCCAUCCCCUUACAACUGCGAGAACGCGAUAAGGGCUGCGGUGGUCGGCCUCCUGAUGGUGUGGAUCUUUGUCGCGUUUCUCGCUGGGAUGAAUGACCCCCAGUCCAUGUCUUAG
rnacentral:rRNA from 1 species